rnacentral:rRNA from 2 species
ACGGGUGAGUAAUGCCUAGGAAUCUGCCUGGUAGUGGGGGACAACGUUUCGAAAGGAACGCUAAUACCGCAUACGUCCUACGGGAGAAAGCAGGGGACCUUCGGGCCUUGCGCUAUCAGAUGAGCCUAGGUCGGAUUAGCUAGUUGGUGAGGUAAUGGCUCACCAAGGCGACGAUCCGUAACUGGUCUGAGAGGAUGAUCAGUCACACUGGAACUGAGACACGGUCCAGACUCCUACGGGAGGCAGCAGUGGGGAAUAUUGGACAAUGGGCGAAAGCCUGAUCCAGCCAUGCCGCGUGUGUGAAGAAGGUCUUCGGAUUGUAAAGCACUUUAAGUUGGGAGGAAGGGCAGUAAAUUAAUACUUUGCUGUUUUGACGUUACCGACAGAAUAAGCACCGGCUAACUCUGUGCCAGCAGCCGCGGUAAUACAGAGGGUGCAAGCGUUAAUCGGAAUUACUGGGCGUAAAGCGCGCGUAGGUGGUUCGUUAAGUUGGAUGUGAAAUCCCCGGGCUCAACCUGGGAACUGCAUCCAAAACUGGCGAGCUAGAGUAUGGUAGAGGGUGGUGGAAUUUCCUGUGUAGCGGUG